CAACAAACAUAUUGAUGAUAAAACCACUUUAUAUACAUGAACCAUGCCUACUAUGCCUUUAAUUAUAAAAUAAGAUUGACGAAACCUCUUUCGCACCUUUUCAUAAUGGUAGUCCGCCGAAACAGUAGUUUGACGAAACCACCAAAAUUCAUAUAAAUCCAUGGUAGCACUUUCUCUCAGGCCUAAUUUUUGUUGGAACGGUGGUUUUUUGUCGAUUUAGUAAUUUUCUCUACUCUAAGUACUGGCAUGUGUGGCGGACAUGGUAAGGUGCCUAAAUGUUGACAUGGUCAUUAUAAAUAUUCAAGGUUUAUUCGCCUGUGAUUUUCAUGGCCUUUGUGGGUUUUUUUUGCCGCAAAGGAUCAACUUGGACUUAUACUGACUCGGACCAGUCAACUCGGCCUUCUAUUAGAAACCUAUUUCGGUAUGGAUUGUUAACAUUGUUAUGAAAAAAAUUUAGGAGUGUAUUACUAUAGAAGUAUUCAAAGGUAUAAUCGCAUGGCCAACAGAAAUUGAAAAAGUUGGCAGUGAACACGUACGUGUUGUUUGAAAUAAUCUUUGUUAGGAAGAGAUGUCGCGACAAUAAAUGUUGAAUAUUGGUCUUUAACUAGAAUUUUUAUGACAAUAAUGGUACUUGUUUUUUGCACUGUUCCUUGAAAUUAUCUUUGUUAAGAAGAGAUGUUCAAGUUGAGACAAUAGAUGUUGAAUAGUUAUCUUUAAAUUGAAUCUUUAUGGAAAUAAAUGUAAUUGUUGUUUACACUGUUUGUUCCUUGGCGGCCAAUGCAGUUUGAACAGUACGUUCUGCAAAGAGCAGAUGAAGUGGGCUAAGGAAAUUGGCAUUCUAUAAGGAAAUAAUUCUGAAUUUACGACAAAUGUACCCCUGUAUGCUAUAAAUAUAUGCAAGGAAUGCAUUGCUUUCUUCACAGUUAAUACACAUUUGAUCUAAUUAUGCACAUGGGAAAUCAAUGUCAACAAACUUGUUUUGAUGCACAGUACAAAUUUAUUUCUUUUACAAUUCAGGGGGGUUUUUUUACGGAAAGGGGUAGAUGCUGGGUGCUGGUAGGGAGGGGAAAGAUAUGUGAAAAAUGUCGAUUUGGGGAAAAUUAUGAGGUCAAUAAUUCUAUAAUAUAUCUUUUUUCCCCUGAAAAACUUUAUCAUCAUGCAAAAAAAACUUUGUGGUGUAACAUCUUAUUAUGUAUGGUGGUGAAUGGUUUUUAUACUUCCAUUAUUGUAUGAAAUUUAAUGCGGCAUACUAUAGGUGUAAUAGUGUAUCUGUGACACACUUCAACUCCAUACAAGUCAUUUUCAAUGCAAAAUAUAUUACUUUCAUAAAAAUAACCAAGAAAAUGGCAAUAUUUUGUUAGCAACUGAUUUGCAGAAAUAGUACCGUUCAGUACAGGAUAUAGCUAAGAAAAAAAUGGCAACCUCCAUGUUGAGAUUUUGCUUGCAGUUUCCGGCAUUUUUUUUGGUUAUUUUUGGCUGCAAUUGGCAUGAUGUGCUUGUGAAGUUUAAAAGUUAAGUGUAGAUGUGUUUAUGGAGUUAAAGCAUUGGUAUUGGCACAACUAUGGCGUUGGGAGGCACAGAUAUAGCGAAGUGUUCAGGUUUGGCUUUGUGGAGUUGAAGAGUCGAUAUUGGCAAAUUUGGAACAUUGGUAGAUUGGGAUAUAGAAAAGUGUGCGUGUUAUUGGCAAAUGUAGAACAUAGGAAGAUAAGGUUAUAGUGCAUUGUGCAGGCACACCACCAUGUACUCUUGAUGUAGAGUACUCCUACCCUUUGGAUUAUGCCCAGCAAGUGCACUAUCCCAAUUCCCUAUUCUCAAUAUGUUGGUUCAAUAUGUAUUAGGACACCAAGAAAGUUCCAUGAGAUUUGUGUUUGUGCAGAGGGAUCAGGACUUAAUGGAAGUGUCAGUCUCAACAUGCUCUGGAAAGGGGAGAAACAAUGCAACAGGUUGCCAGUAUUGUCCUGCAGACAUCAAGACAUGGUCACAAUAUCCCACUGCUUAUAGAUGAUCUAAAAAGCCAUUGAAAGUCAUUUUAAUAGUAAAUCCCCUGAGGCCUGCUGCUAUAAGGACUAAUGCUAUAUUGACUAGUGUGUGGAUCAUAUUAAUUAAUGGUUGCCUAUGUCAGCUUACCAGUAACUUACUUCCAUAAUGUUAAAACAUUUCAUGUGAUUGUGUUUUGUGUAGUACAACAUUUGUCAUGUCACUUUAAGUAUAGAAUUGCAUUGAACAUAUGCAUUUCAUGAAUUGAUCAACUGUAAUCCUGUCUUUAUAAGUUUUUAAAGUCUUGAUUUCAAGAUAAAUAAACAGUUUUAGUUGUUUGUGUGACUAUAUCUCAUUGAAAAUGACUGCAUAAAAUGUGAAGUGAUAAGCUUCAGUACUUGCUGUCAAGUUUUAAAUAUUUUAUACUUUUAGGAUAUGAAAACUAUUUUAUCUAUGACAAUGAUAGAUGAGUGAAUUUUUUAUGUUGAUAUUAGUGUAGAAUGACUUGGUAAAAUUUGCAUUAAUCCUGAACAGAAGCAUCAAAAUCAAAGAAAUUUGCAUGGUAGCUAGGCAACUAAAAUUUCCUUCAGUUAAAAAGGAUUUUUAACAGGAAGAACAUAUUAAUAUUAAAAAGACUCUGUAUGUUUGAUAUCAUUGUAACUCUUUCAGAACUUAAUCUCCUGCAUGCCUGAAAAUUUGGAAAUUUAGAAAUUUAUAACAAAAUAAUAUAUGAUAACUCGAAGUGCAGUGCAGUGCAAAAGAAUUAGUACUCUGAACUUCUUAUUUUUUGAGUAAUUGCCGUUUGUUAAUUUUCAUACUUCAAAUUUUGUCUGGGCCAUUUCUCUUCAACUAUAAAACCUAUGGACUUAAACUUCAUAGAAUGAUAGAUCUCAUUUAGAAAAAGUGCAUUGCACAAGGACUGGUACUUUGAACUUCCUAAUUUUUGAGUUAUGGUCCUUUGUUAAUUUUCAUAUUUUACUUUUGUCCAGGUCAUUACUCCUAAAGUACAAAAGCUAUGGACAUGAAACUUCAUAGGAUGAUAGAUCUUAUUGAUAAGAAGUAUAGUGCAAAGAAAAUGCUGCUCUGCACUUCUUAUUUUUUGAGUUAUUGCCCUUUGUUAAUUUUCUUGUUCUGGCCAUUUCUCCUUAACUACAUUGUUCACAAGGCGACAUAUCCGACUCGUGAAGUUCUGGUUCAUUCAAAUAGCCAGUUGUGCACUUAAAAUUUGUUAAAUUUAAAACAAAAUUAUGGAAUAUAUUGUGGCUGCUUGGCAACACUGAUUGAUUUUAGCUUGACUGUUCGAUUAAAAUAAGUAGAGCUUUUGUAGUCACCCAAACGUCAGUGUAUACGUAACAACUUGUGUCGAAGUUUUUAUGAUAUACCUCAAAUAUUUUCAAAGUCCAUUGCCAUAUGGCUUUGAAAAUUUGCACAAUUGUUCGCCAUCAUGAUUCCAACCUGUAGACAGGAGGAGGUGACUGUAUCAAGCAUUUUAGGAUAAUUUUUUUACUUAGUAUUUACGUUAUAAAGUUUUUGUAAUACCUCAAAUAUUUUCAAAGUCCAUUCACAUAUGGCUUUGAAACUUUGUGCACUUAUUCACCAGCAUGACCCUUACCUGUAGACAGGAGCAGGUAACUGUACUAAGCAUUUUGACAGAAUUAUGCCCCUUUUUUCGACUUAGAAUUUACAUUUAACUUUGCAUAUUACCUCAGAUAUUUUCAAAUUCUAUUGACAUCUAGCUUUGAAACAAGUUGAAAUUUUAUACUCUUCUUUGAGAGCAUAAUAGGACUCUCUUCAAGGCGUACUGUAACAUGGUUUUAAAGGAAAAUUAUUCCCUUGUUAACUAAGAAAAUUUUACAUUAUCGAGGCCUUUUUACUGUCAAGCACUAAUAAUAGUCCAGCAUUGCUUCCCUACCUACAGCUCUUGUUUCUAAUUGUUUAGGUAUUAAGUAAACCAGUUAUACAGCAGAUAGAUAUAUAUAUAUAUUAUAUUAUAUGGAAAUUAACACUUGAUCAAACAAUAACAUACAGGCAAAAAUACUGAGUUUCUGCUAAAAUUAACAUGGUUUUCUAUCACUAGUCAAGUGUACAGAACCUGUAUGUAAUAUCUUAAAUGAAAGAUUUUUUAAAAGUAAAUAAUAGACAUUGUAAUUUUAUUGAAAAUUAAUUUAUCUCUGCUGCUUUGUUAGCUGUAUUUUGCAAAGUAAUAUGUGAAAACUUUAAAAUAAAUUUUUAAAAAAUAUUCAACGGUUGCUAGCUGCCUUUAUGUUGUAUUUGUGUAAUGAUAUCCUUUAUUUGGUACAACUACCUUUUAUGUUGUUACACUUUAGUCAUAUUUAAUUUACUGUUGUAUUAAACUGUUAUCUGUUGUCACAGUAAGUGUUUGUCAGAAUAAGAUUAAAUAAUAAAUGAAUAAUAAAUGGA